UACGUAGGGUGCGAGCGUUAAUCGGAAUUACUGGGCGUAAAGCGUGCGCAGGCGGUUCGUUGUGUCCGAUGUGAAAGCCCCGGGCUUAACCUGGGAAUGGCAUUGGAAACUGGCGAGCUUGAGUGCGGCAGAGGGGGGUGGAAUUCCGCGUGUAGCAGUGAAAUGCGUAGAGAUGCGGAGGAACACCGAUGGCGAAGGCAGCCCCCUGGGUCGACACUGACGCUCAGGCACGAAAGCGUGGGUAGCAAACAGG
rnacentral:rRNA from 1 species